GCCCGGAUGGUGGAAUCGGGAGACACAAGGGAUUUAAAAUCCCUCGGCGUUCGCGCUGUGCGGGUUCAAGUCCCGCUCCGGGUACCA
rnacentral:tRNA from 1 species